rnacentral:lncRNA from 1 species
GCUCGCUCGAGCUCGGCGCGGACCCGCCCGGGAGCGCUCCUCGCAGCAGCUGCCCGGGUUCCCACCGCCCUACCGGGCGCGAGCGAUCAGACUACCUCGGAGGGCGCGCUCAGACACCCAGAUGUCCGGCCACCUCAGUGGGUACCCUCGGCACCCUGUGAUCCGACCACCCGCGGAGGCGCGCUAGCCCUCUGGGUGGGCGUGCUGGGCUUCUCUGCGGCGGAAGUCUGGACCACAGAUUGUGACUUCUUUUCUAGCAGUAGGUGUUGACUGGUCCGACUGCUGCCCUUCUGCCCAAGAGUAGUUCAAACUGACCAGGUGUGACAUGGGCCCAAGGGAUGGACACAUGUCCAGUGCUGAUCACCCUGUUCCUUCUAGGUCUGACUGUGUUGUUCUGGAAGGGAAGAAAACAUAUGUGCUGCUUGGUCUGCCAUCUUAAACCAGAAGUCUGAAAUACGGGUCUGAAUGCUGCUCGCAAGGAUAUCUUACAUUGAGGAUAGCAGGCACCAGAGACUCUGUACCAUAAACAUUUCCACAAGAAACGGCCUCUAACUGAACCUGGAACUCACUGACUGAACUCGAGUUGCUGUUGAGAAAGCCCCAGGGACUGUUUGGUCUUCUCCCGCUCAAAAUUUGCGAUGCAGUGCCUCCUCAGGCCCAUCAAAGUCUUCCAGGAUCACGCAGAGGACCAUGCCACAGUCGGAAGUGAGGUAAACAAGUCUCCUCAUUGCUAUAUUUUGUAAUUAUCAGACAAGAGAGUGGAGUUCCCGCCUGAAGCCCCUCAGGCCUGUGUGAAGCUUAACCAUGUAUGUACUCAAUGUAGGUGUGAUCAGUUUUCAGAUCCAUGCAAAUGUGAGCUGACUUUCCCCUGAUGUUUGCUGAGUGCAUGCCAACAGCAUUCUGCAUGGCUAACCUGCCUCAGCAACCAAAUCCCUGGAACUGUCAUAUGCAGAGGGUCUGUGGUGUGGCCAUUUUAUAAAUGAGCCACGGGAAGGCCAGAGAAAGAAACAGCAUGCUCCAAGUCAGAGCAGAAGGCAGCUUCCCUAGGAUCUGUUUAAUGUUUGCUUCUUUACAACACAGGAUCUCGUGAAACCCAAGCUAGCCUCAGACUCAACUGCAUAGCUGAGGAUACCCUUGAACUUGAUUCUCUAAUAUUUCUACCUCAUACCCAGUUCAUGAGGUAAUGCGGAUAGAACCCAGGGCUUCCUGAAUACUAGGAAGGCACUCUACCAACUGAGCUACAUCCCCAGAUCCUCCUCUGGGGAUAAGCCCAGGUUCAAAUCCAAGGCCUUAACAACAUCGGGACACGGACAUAAGACACAGCACUCUACUGGACCUGGGCAUGCUCCUACCCUGUCUAGUGAUCGCAAAAGCCAUCUUUUUAACAGCCCGCGUUAUGAUUCUACCAUCAGACCAGAGAGGCCCUAGAUAGCCCAGCUUCCCAUUGUAAGUCAUCUUCGACAUGUUUAACCGAUGGCUGUGUGGGACUGCUAGAAAGUUUGGAAAUCACCAAGCGCUUUGACUUUCCUGCCCACAAAAACAGUUGGCCUUGGCAGAUGUCCAACGCGUUGACCUUAGAUCCAUUUAAUGAAAACCCUAUUAAUUC